UACGUAGGGUGCAAGCGUUAUCGGAAUUACUGGGCGUAAAGCGUGCGCAGGCGGCUUUGCAAGACAGAUGUGAAAUCCCCGGGCUCAACCUGGGAACUGCAUUUGUGACUGCAUGGCUAGAGUACGGUAGAGGGGGGAUGGAAUUCCGGCGUGUAGCGAUGAAAUCGUAGAGAUGUGGAGGAACACCGAUGGCGAAGGCAGCCCCCCUGGGCUAACACUGACGCU
rnacentral:rRNA from 1 species